AGUGAGCGCUGGCGGUAGGCCUAACACAUGCAAGUCGAACGGCAGCACAGUAAGAGCUUGCUCUUACGGGUGGCGAGUGGCGGACGGGUGAGGAAUACAUCGGAAUCUACUUUUUCGUGGGGGAAACGUAGGGAAACUUACGCUAAUACCGCAUACGACCUACGGGUGAAAGCAGGGGAUCUUCGGACCUUGCGCGAUUGAAUGAGCCGAUGUCGGAUUAGCUAGUUGGCGGGGUAAAGGCCCACCAAGGCGACGAUCCGUAGCUGGUCUGAGAGGAUGAUCAGCCACACUGGAACUGAGACACGGUCCAGACUCCUACGGGAGGCAGCAGUGGGGAAUAUUGGACAAUGGGCGCAAGCCUGAUCCAGCCAUACCGCGUGGGUGAAGAAGGCCUUCGGGUUGUAAAGCCCUUUUGUUGGGAAAGAAAAGCAGCAGGUUAAUACCCCGCUGUUCUGACGGUACCCAAAGAAUAAGCACCGGCUAACUUCAUG
rnacentral:rRNA from 1 species